rnacentral:rRNA from 1 species
GACGAACCGUGCGAACGUUGUUCGGAAUCACUGGGCUUAAAGGGCGCGUAGGCGGGCUGCCAAGUCUGGGGUGAAAUCCCACGGCUCAACCGUGGAACUGCCUCGGAUACUGGCGACCUCGAGGGGGUAGGGGCGUGGCGGAACUGUGGGUGGAGCGGUGAAAUGCGUUGAUAUCCACAGGAACUGACCGGUCGGCGAAGGCGGCACGCUGGACCUCUUCUGACGCUGAGGCGCGAAAGCCAGGGGAGCAAACGGG